GAUGAACGCUGGCGGCGUGCCUAAUACAUGCAAGUCGAGCGAACGGACGAGAAGCUUGCUUCUCUGAUGUUAGCGGCGGACGGGUGAGUAACACGUGGAUAACCUACCUAUAAGACUGGGAUAACUUCGGGAAACCGUAGCUAAUACCGGAUAAUAUUUUGAACCGCAUGGUUCGAAAGUGAAAGACGGUCUUGCUGUCACUUAUAGAUGGAUCCGCGCUGCAUUAGCUAGUUGGUAAGGUAACGGCUUACCAAGGCAACGAUGCAUAGCCGACCUGAGAGGGUGAUCGGCCACACUGGAACUGAGACACGGUCCAGACUCCUACGGGAGGCAGCAGCAGGGAAUCUUCCGCAAUGGGCGAAAGCCUGACGGAGCAACGCCGCGUGAGUGAUGAAGGUCUUCGGAUCGUAAAACUCUGUUAUUAGGGAAGAACAUAUGUGUAAGUAACUGUGCACAUCUUGACGGUACCUAAUCAGAAAGCCACGGCUAACUACGUG
rnacentral:rRNA from 1 species